AGCAGCCGCGGUAAUUCCAGCUCCAAUAGCGUAUAUUAAAGUUGUUGCAGUUAAAAAGCUCGUAGUUGAAUUUCGGGAUCAAAGAAUCGGUCAUGCCUUGGUAUGUACUGGUUUUAUUGGUUCUCACCUUCUAAAGAACCAUGAUGUCAUUCAUUUGAUGUUAUGGGGAAUUAGGACUGUUACCUUGAAAAAUUAGAGUGUUUAAAGCAAGCUUACGCUUGAAUACAUUAGCAUGGAAUAAUGAAAUAGGACAUCAGAUUCUAUUUUGUUGGUUUCUAGGAUCGAUGUAAUGAUUAAUAGGGAUAGUUGGGGGCAUUAGUAUUCAAUUGUCAGAGGUGAAAUUCUUGGAUUUAUUGAAGACUAACUACUGCGAAAGCAUUUGCCAAGGAUGUUUUCAUUAAUCAAGAACGAAAGUUAGGGGAUCGAAGACGAUCAGAUACCGUCGUAGUUCUGACCAUAAACGAUGU
rnacentral:rRNA from 1 species